GCCGCUUUAGCUCAUUUGGUAGAGCAGCUGACUUGUAAUCAGCAGGUGAUUGGUUCGAAUCCGAUAAGCGGCACCA
rnacentral:tRNA from 1 species